UUCCUGGGCAUUCCAUGGAAUACCAAAGAAUCUGGCCCAAAAAAAAUUGAGUAUACAUGUUAUACACCGAAGCCCACUAGAGCAGCCCAUCCAGCCACGCACCAGACGCCAACAACAGAGCAGGUCUCCGUCUCCCACUCUUCCUCUCUCGAUGCAAAUCUCCAAACCUAGCUGACCGUUGACGGCGCCGGCGCCAUCGCCAGCAAGCGAGGUCCGACGGACGAGGUGGGCCCUCUGCCCCUCUGGCCGUCUCCCUUCCCUCCCCUCCGGCCUCCAUGGCUGGCUGUGGUCCGUGCGGGGCAGCGCCGCUGCGGGCUUCCUCCGGCCUCCGUCGCCGUCGGCAGUCACCGCUUCAGUCCGCCAGCCGAGAGGCUAGAAGGGGAAGCCACCCAAUGUCCAAUCCAUCCAGUACUGCAUCCAUCUACAAAUUACCAAGUCCAUGCCACAUUGCAACUGCCACUUAUUUCUACUUUGUUUGUGUGAUGUAAGAUGAAGAAGUAUGUUGGCAUAUUUGAAUUGUGGGACAUAUCUUCAAACUAAGGCAAGGAAAACAAUUUCUACGUCCACAUUUGUUGUUUGUUCUAUUAUAUUGCUUUGGCCAAUUAUUAUUUUUUGCUAGUAUUAUUGAUGUAUGGUCAUCGAGUCAUUGAUAUUUUCACAAUGUUAUUUUCUGGCAUCGAUGUAUGGUCAUCGAGUCAUACCUAUUAUAUAUUGUUGUUAGAGAUAUUGCCACAAUGA